UGCAAAGUACCCACCUUGUAAAGAAAAUGAAAAAGGGGUAAAGCCCAGCCGUAUCAAUAAUAAAAGAAGGCCCAAUCCAAUAAAUUUAGAUGGGGUAUGAUUUGGAUUUUGAACCACACAAACACAAAAGCGUGAGAUAAAUCUUCAAAAAGAAGCAGAGACCCUUCCUUCAUUGCUCCGGUAAGCUUGGCUUUAAUGCUUCCACAUCCUUCUUUUUCACAAAACAACAACCGUUAAAUUGUAAUUGUUCAGCCCUUCCAGUUCAACGAUGGAAGAGUAAGGAGAAACCUCAUUCAUUGUUCUGCCAAAACUCAAAGGGUAAGCCUUGCUGUAACUCAAUUCCUUUCAGUCAUUAGCCUCACCUGCAUUAACACAAAGUCUUGAAUAUUUCAGAUUUUCCCAGUUCAUUUAAAGCCACUGCAGCAGAGCAGCCUAUUUUCAAGGUAUUUACUGAGCUCAAUAUGCUAUAUCUCAUAAUGCAUAUUCUCCAUCUAAGUAUGAUAGACAGACAUUACCAUUUCAUAAUCAAGUUAUCCAUGUGGAACCAACAGCCUAUAGCUGCAUUGAGAACCUUCCUAUAGGCAGUAGCAAAACUACAACAUUCUUACUACCCUUGCAUAACUGAAACACGGAUUAGCCAUAGAAGAAGAACUUAGCUUUUAAGAAUGGAGGACCGACUGCCCUGUCCAGUCGAGCCCAAGGAAACGGCGAAGACGAACUCUUGCUGCCUGGGCACAGAUCGAUGUUAGGAGAAGAGAGGAGCUCAUACUGGAGCCGACCUCGCCGGUCUUCCACAGACGGCGGAGGUGGCGGCGAUUUCGAUUUAGGGGAGGAAUUAGGGCCCGCCCUUUUGCCUUGAGCGUGUGCUAUCAGAGAGAGAUUCGGGCUUUGCGCAUGGUAAGAGAGAGAGAAGGGCGACGGACUCAGGCGGCGCGACGUCGCCGGAGGAGAAGCAGCGGCGGCGAGAAUUAUAGAAGAGAGGGGCGACUACUUCGAGAAGAGAAUGAGGGAUUGAAAAUCUGUUAAUGGCAGAGGGACGAGGGUGGUUGAGAAAGAAAGACUUGGCUGAUUUUUUGUGUUUUAUUUCCCUUUGGGCCAUGUUAUUAUUUUAUUGGGCCACUUUUAUUGAUAUGAGCCCAGAAUAUCAUUUAGUUUAGGGGUGAGCAUCGGUUCGGUUCGGUAGGAAUUAAACAUUGCAUUUCACCAAGUCAAAAAUGAGGAGGUCUAACCCAAAAUUGUGUCGGUGACAGACAGAUAGAGUUACCUUUGAAGAAGAUGCUUUAUGAAAAAAAUUCUCUUUUUGCUGAAACAGUUGGUAAUUUUCAGCCGGAAAAGGGAGUCGGAUCUCGGCGUCUCGCCGU
rnacentral:lncRNA from 1 species